rnacentral:rRNA from 1 species
UACGGAGGGAGCUAGCGUUGUCCGGAUUUAUUGGGCGUAAAGAGCGUGUAGGCGGCCAGGUAGGUCCGUUGUGAAAACUGGAGGCUUAACCUCCAGCUGUCGAUGGAAACCAUCUGGCUAGAGUCCGGAAGAGGAGAGUGGAAUUCCUGGUGUAGCGGUGAAAUGCGCAGAUAUCAGGAAGAACACCCGUGGCGAAGGCGGCUCUCUGGGACGGUACUGACGCUGAGACGCGAAAGCGUGGGGAGCGAACAGG